AUAGCUAUAGUUCAACGGUAGAACACUUGUAUGUGGAGCAAUAUAUCUGAGUUCGAUUCUCAGUAGUUAUC